rnacentral:rRNA from 1 species
GACGACGCUGGCGGCGUGCCUAACACAUGCAAGUCGAGCGAAUGAAGUUCCUUCGGGAACGGAUUUAGCGGCGGACGGGUGAGUAACACGUGGGCAACCUGCCUCAUAGAGGGGAAUAGCCUUCCGAAAGGGAGAUUAAUACCGCAUAAGAUUGUAGUACCGCAUGGUACAGCAAUUAAAGGAGUAAUCCGCUAUGAGAUGGGCCCGCGGCGCAUUAGCUAGUUGGUGAGGUAACGGCUCACCAAGGCGACGAUGCGUAGCCGACCUGAGAGGGUGAUCGGCCACAUUGGGACUGAGACACGGCCCAGACUCCUACGGGAGGCAGCAGUGGGGAAUAUUGCACAAUGGGGGAAACCCUGAUGCAGCAACGCCGCGUGAGUGAUGACGGCCUUCGGGUUGUAAAGCUCUGUCUUCAGGGACGAUAAUGACGGUACCUGAGGAGGAAGCCACGGCUAACUACGUG